rnacentral:rRNA from 1 species
UACGAAGGGGGCUAGCGUUGCUCGGAAUCACUGGGCGUAAAGGGUGCGUAGGCGGGUCUUUUAAGUCAGGGGUGAAAUCCUGGAGCUCAACUCCAGAACUGCCUUUGAUACUGAAGAUCUUGAGUCCGGGAGAGGUGAGUGGAACUGCGAGUGUAGAGGUGAAAUUCGUAGAUAUUCGCAAGAACACCAGUGGCGAAGGCGGCUCACUGGCCCGGUACUGACGCUGAGGCACGAAAGCGUGGGGAGCAAGCAGG